UCUCUCACACACACACACACACACACACACACACACACACACGCUCAUACUCAGGUACAUGUUUGUACCCACAAUGACUAAGGAGGUCAUUGCCAAAUUCUGUAUUGCCAGGCUCUCCAGGCACAUCUGAGUUUCCUUGUGUCAAAAGGAGCGUUUCCAAGCUCAUUGGUCUGUUGCCAUGGAAACACUCAGGCUUCCAGAACUCUGGGCUAGGGCCUGCCCCCCAUGGUGCAGAGGAGGAGAAGAGAGCUGAAGGGUGACAGAAAGAAGGUAAAUGGCUGUGGAUUCUCAAGAAAUCUCUGCCUAAGUCCAGCAUGUGUGCACACCUUCUGCCAACUCCCCACCAGAAGUGAUCAGACCUAGAAAGCACCGUUUUGUGACCAGGGUCAGGUACCCUCCCUGGAGCAGGGAGCAGGGAAAUUGCCAGGCUGACCCUGGGAAAACCUACAGACCAAGGGUUCCAACCUGAGCUUCUGAAAUGACAUCUGGAAAGGCUGAUGGAGCUAUUUAUUGAUCAGGAGUGAAAAGGGGCUCAAGUGGGAGUUGGGUUCAGGAGAAGGGAAGCUCACCUGGCUGCAGUGUUCCCUGGACUAGGCCACGAUGGCCUCUUGAGACCUGCUUCAGGCUUCCCUGCCCUUGUUUUCAUCCAGAGUACUGUGGAGUUGAAAGAGAAUACUAAGUCCCUAGUCCCCAAACUCUGAAAUCCCCAAGUAUUCUUGCAGGGGCUGAGGGUGGGGCUUCCCAGUGACCUAUCUUUCUCUGACCUCUCUCCCAAACUGACCCCACCAGCCCUAUAUCCUUGAUUAAUUACACUGUUUUUCUGUCCCAGCCAGAUGAGUGAUCAAUAAAUAAUGCUGC
ensembl:lincRNA